rnacentral:tRNA from 1 species
GCCUGGGUGGCUCAGUGGUUGAGCAUCUGCCUCCGGCCCAGAGUGUGAUCUUGGAGUCCCGGGAUCGAGUCCCGGAUGGGGCU